rnacentral:lncRNA from 1 species
GAUGCUGAAAUCACUGCACCUUAAAAACAAAAGGAUUAAGCUGCACUGCAUUCCUUGAACUCCCAAAGCCCAUCGGUGCGGGGCGAGCUUAGCAGCCAAGCCUUGCCAUUCUCCAGAGACUGUGAGGUGAUUCUCCUUCGUCACUGCUUGGACCAGGAACCACAGCCCUGCAGUGGUUGGCAGUUUUCCUCAACUUUGCAAGAGAGAGAGAAUUGGUUGGAAUGAAACCUUGCUCUCCGUACAGUCCGCUUGAGAUGCAGCAUUGAAAGGUUACAGGAUUUCCUUUAUCUUGAUGGACCAAAAUGAUUCUCAGUUUGAUGAUGUUGGUCUGCUGGAAACAAGAGAGGAGGAGGAGGAGGAGGAGGAGGGAAGAACUUUAGAAUGAUAUUGUUGUUACUGCUGUGUUCAAAACCUAUUAUUUGCUGGAGUUUUCAGAAGUUUUUGAUUUGUUUUCCUUCUCUCUCUCUGACCUAAUUAAUUUUAUGGGACCUCCCCAUGGACAUAAUUUAUAUGACAAAUGAAUUACAUUAAAAGUUGCUGUCAUGGUAAGAAACCCCUAGUUUAUGGUAAAUCUAAUGUGUUUCCACAUUCUUUCCCUCUGUAAAUAGUGAUCUACUAGAGAUAAUUUGUUUUCUUUAUUUUUCAGAUAACUUUGGGUGUGUAGUGACUUUACUAUCAG